AACGAACGCUGGCGGCAUGCCUAACACAUGCAAGUCGAACGAAGCCUUCGGGCUUAGUGGCGCACGGGUGCGUAACGCGUGGGAAUCUGCCCCUUGCUUCGGAAUAACAGUUAGAAAUGACUGCUAAUACCGGAUGAAGUCUUCGGACCAAAGAUUUAUCGGCAAGGGAUGAGCCCGCGUAGGAUUAGGUAGUUGGUGGGGUAAAGGCCUACCAAGCCGACGAUCCUUAGCUGGUCUGAGAGGAUGAUCAGCCACACUGGGACUGAGACUCGGCCCAGACUCCUACGGGAGGCAGCAGUGGGGAAUAUUGGACAAUGGACGCAAGUCUGAUCCAGCAAUGCCGCGUGAGUGAUGAAGGCCUUAGGGUUGUAAAGCUCUUUUACCAGGGAUGAUAAUGACAGUACCUGGAGAAUAAGCUCCGGCUAACUCCGUG
rnacentral:rRNA from 1 species